GCUCACUGUAAAGUAUCCAUCUCAGGGCAUGCCUAUACCACAGCACUACAUGGGUGCAGCUGCACUGAUGCAACUGUGACGUUGUAGCACAUCUGAUGAAGAUGCGCUAUGCUGACGAGAGCGCUCUCCCAUCGCAUAAUUACUCCAUAUUGGCAAGAAGCGGAAGUUAUGUCGGCGAGAGACACUCUCCCCCAAACAUAGCACUGCUGCUCUUCAAAUGCUACCUUUCCAACAGAGAGCUGAAACCAGGGGCAUCUCUGUGCUCUGCUAGUACCCCAAGCUCUUUAAAAAGAAAAAGAAGAUACCUUCCAAAGGAAAUGAAGACAGAUCAAUAUCAAGACAUUGGGUGCAAUUUGAUAGUCUCUCUUUACUCUUAAUGGAGAUAUAAAUAUCUGUUUUAAGUAAACCUAAGAUAGGCCUGGAACAUAUGAGUGAGUCAUAGGAUUUGAGCAGAAAGCAUAUGCUGAGACUGGGGUAAAUAAAAUAUGUAGGGCCUGGAUCUCUGCUGCCUUGCACCUUGUGUAGACAUCCAAAUGUGUGCAAAAUAAGUAUAAAAUAUUACUAACUCAGAAUGGUAACAUUGUAUACAACACAGGUGCAAAUGACUGCAGUGGUGAACCAGACCUUCAUAUGGAAAAACCCACAAAUAAGCCAUUACUACUGCAUCUUAGUUUCCUGAAAUGAAACUGUUGAUGUUGCAUAUGCAGUUAAAACAAUAGAUUGGAUUAUUUAUCAUUGUAUUAUCUUUCAAAUCAGCUCCAAGGCCAAAUUCUAAGUGGUGCUGUGCCCCUGACUUCUGAUAGGGUGAUAUGCGAAGCGCCUUCUUUGAGUUGUUGAGUGUCCUCUUUUGUUGACUUUUAUUGACUUCCCCACUGAAGUCAAUGGGAGUAGUGGGUGCUCAGCGCCUUUGAAAAGUUCAGAUGCCUAAAUAUGAAUGUCAGUGACUAAUUUUCAGUAUCCUGAGUGCUCUUCUAUCCAUGAUACAUAUCUAUUUGUGUCAUAUCUGCUCAUCUAGGGCUGACAGAAUACGGUGUAACGGUACUAGCUUUAAACUUUCAUUUCUUAUUUUCUUUGUUAUGGGUUAAAUCCUAUCAUCAUCCAGUACUUAGGGUCAGGCCCUUAUCCUAUCAAAGUUAACAGAAACAUUCCAUUGAUUUAUAUGGAACAGGUGCUUAGGCAAAACUCCAGGAGAUCGUCUGUACAAAUCAAUAAGGAC